AGGGUUCGAUCCUGGCUCAGGAUGAACGCUGGCGGCGUGCUUAACACAUGCAAGUCGAACGAGAACGUUCCCUUCGGGGAACUAGUAAAGUGGCGAACGGGUGAGUAACACGUGGGCAACCUACCCCUUACAUUGGGAUAACGCAGAGAAAUUUGCGCUAAUACCGGAUACUUCGUUUUGAGGGCAUCCUCGUUACGAGAAAGCUUUUGCGGUAAGGGAUGGGCCCGCGGUCCAUUAGCUUGUUGGUGGGGUAACGGCCUACCAAGGCGACGAUGGAUAGCCGGCUUGAGAGAGUGAUCGGCCACAUUGGGACUGAGACACGGCCCAG
rnacentral:rRNA from 1 species